rnacentral:misc_RNA from 1 species
GCGAUUAGCUUUCCUUUUAAA